rnacentral:rRNA from 1 species
CUCGGUGCCUCGAGCGAUGUGGAACCACCUCUUCCCAUCCCGAACAGAGUCGUGAAACGCAUCAGCGCCGAUGAUACUUGGACCCAACCCGGUCCUGGGAAAGUAGGCCGGUGCCGAGG